rnacentral:lncRNA from 1 species
GCUUGGUGGCUUGGUGCCUAUAUUUUAGAUGUUCCAUUAAUCUUGGCUGCUUUUCUCACCAGUUUUGGGCUUUAACCUUGGGUAAAUGGACUAAUCUUUUCCUUGUCUUUAAACUGUCUGCUGACAUGCUUAUGCUCUAACAAGUUCCUCUGCUUUCAUUUCUCACGUUGUCAGAUCUAGAAGGUUGCAGCUUCUUUGUUCUCCUACUCAAGAUUUGCUCACUUUCUAGCUGGUUGCUGCAUCAUUUACUUUUUCCUCUGUUCAAGGAUGUAUCGUACACAUUGUCACCUUUUUCCUCUAUUCAGAUAUCGGUGUUGCCUAAUUAAAAAAUGAACAACAAUACCAGUUGUACCAGUUGAAGUUUUUUCUUUCUGAAUUGAGUAGUUAAGAGUUCAGUCUUCCUAUAGAAUCUCCAGGAGUUUAGUUAGGCAUUCUGAAAAAGAGAAGUCUUGUUGAUCAGACGGCUAAACGCUCAUAUCGCUCCUAAACUUGAUACACUGUUUUCCUUUUGAUAUGUCUUGCCAAGCAGAGCGACCAAUGCAAGGAGGACCAAGAUCUAGGACGGUGAGCCUCGCCUAGCUCUUCCACCUCUUCCACCUAUCAUGGAGGAGGGACGAAGGGGGAGAAGAUUACAGCAUGAUUCAGGUUUGACUUCUUUUUUUCUAUUCCAUCUAGCAACUCUGGUGGCAGAACAAAAUUAUCCAGUAAACUUAACUGUUUGUAAGUGUCUUGGUUGUACUAGAAUUUGCAGAAUUUUGUCCAAAGUCUAAUCAACACAAAACUGAAGUUUUUUAUUCUGAUUUUUGACACCAGGAUCAGUUGAGGGUUGAAUGCUUCAAUGGUUCCAGAAAGCUUCAUCCACAAUCCUGACAAAUAUUUCCUUUGAUGUCACAAAGCAUACCAAGAAUUUGAAGUGAGUACGUUUUAUCCCAGCUAACCUGUCAGGCUGUCACCUUUUAGCGAUGUCAUGAAAAAUGAACAUAUGGCAGUCAUUUAUUAUUAAUCUUGUGGUGACAUAUGCAUGACUAUUAGUAGAAUACUUUGUAGUAAGUUGUGUGUAAAUGUUGUGUAGAGAAGGCGAUAGGGAGACUGACGGGGCAUAGAGUGCUUCCGUGUGUUGGGGUAUUUAGCUGAUUGCUCAUUUGGGAGCACUCAAUAGCAUGUUGCAUCUUUAAUUUUAUGAAAUAAAUGCCUUCCUUUGUUUGCUCAUUUUCUUCUGAUAUAAAGGUUUAGAUAUUAGGUAUUUGGUACUCAAGACCAUUUAACUUUCUUUUUUCAUAUAUGAGUAUAGCUGGAUUAUUCAUGUUUCUUACAAUCAAGAAUUUUCCCAUUCAGGUAGAUUGUGAAUUAUUCCUGACAUUUCAGCAAAAUAUCCAUUAUUUCUAUCUGGAAGAUUCUGGGUUGAACUCUCGGAGACUCUUUACGCCGAGACUCUUUACCCAAUAUCACCUCUCCAUGCAGCUCUUCUUUUGAUUCUGUCCAAUUCCUGGCGAUCGGCACGGACCAGAAUACCAUCGCGCAUGCCCUUGGUGUGUGUGCCAGAAUACCAUCGCGCAUGCCCUUAACAUAUGUCUUACUCAAACCUAACACUACUACCAUAUUCAAAUAUUAAUGUACAUUUAUUUGUAAACAACAAGCCUCCAUUCAUUUUUAUACAAAUGGGUUAGAAUUGUUACCAUAGGUGCUUGUCUACAACUAAACCUACCAAGACAUGGGUUCUUUUCAAAGCACACAUGGUGUUUAGCAGGUCUGAGCGCCAUUUGUUACCAUAUCUUCACUGCAACACGGUCUUUAGUGGGAGCGCCUCUCUGGAAACGCCUCUGUCGCCCAGCUGAUGAACCAAGGAAGAAGAGGGCUCGGUGGAUGCAUUCGCCACCGCUUCAUAUUCUUCUCCUGACAGGCCGCAGUCAUCGCUGUUCGUGGGCUGGGCUAGGUAGCAUAUGGGCCAUUCAAAUACCUAUACCUCCGUAUAUGCACAACACAAAGAUGUUUUUUCCCUUCAUGUGCAUAUACAAUAAAAGUUUG